rnacentral:tRNA from 1 species
CGGCGGCGAUGGCGCAGGCCGGCGCCGACGUGCUGGUACCGCACCUCGGGCUGACCACCAGCGGCACGAUCGGCGCGCGGACCGCCGUGACGCUGG